rnacentral:lncRNA from 1 species
AAAUAUUUAUUUAUUUUUAUCUAAAAAGAAAUUUCUAAGAAAAAAUUAAAACAAAUCAAACCUACACAAAUUUGAAACACUUUGCGGUUUCUCACCCCCACAAGUCAAACCUACUUAAAAACAAUUCACCCCCAAAUUGAAAACCCUCGUCUGCCGCUUAACCCUGCAACCGCUCCGGCGACCAAAAUCCCCAUCACAAAUUCGAUCGAUCUCAACCUCCGCCGUUCGCCAUCGAGAGCCAGACCACCACCGCUCCAUUUCUCUCUAGCUACUCCUCCCCAGCGACCUCAACAUCAUCAUUGCUGCCAGACAUCUGUUAUUCCUUGCCGCCAUCGUGCUGUAACCACCGAUAUUGUCGUCUCUCUCAUUGAGACUACCGCACUCUCUCUCCUGCUACUCUUUCCCGGCGACCUCAACAUCGUAGC